AUUGAACGCUGGCGGCAUGCCUUACACAUGCGAGUCGAGCGGCAGCACGGGGGCAACCCUGGUGGCGAGCGGCGAACGGGUGAGUAAUACAUCGGAACAUGCCCAGUCGUGGGGGAUAACACUUCGAAAGAAGUGCUAAUACCGCAUACGUCCUGAGGGAGAAAGCGGGGGAUCUUCGGACCUCGCGCGAUUGGAGUGGCCGAUGUCAGAUUAGCUAGUUGGUGGGGUAAAGGCCUACCAAGGCAACGAUCUGUAGCUGGUCUGAGGGGAUGAUCAGCCACACUGGGACUGAGACACGGCCCAGACUCCUACGGGAGGCAGCAGUGGGGAAUUUUGGACAAUGGGGGCAACCCUGAUCCAGCCAUUCCGCGUGAGUGAAGAAGGCCUUCGGGUUGUAAAGCUCUUUCGGCAGGAACGAAACGGCGAGCUCUAACAUAGCUUGCUAAUGACGGUACCUGAAGAAGAAGCACCGGCUAACUACGUGCCAGCCGCCGCCGUAACAC
rnacentral:rRNA from 1 species